rnacentral:rRNA from 1 species
GUGAUGUUCUUUAGGUAAUUAUGUACUGCCUAAAGGCCACUGCAAGACCCUUAGGCAGUACUUGGCCGGAACAUGCCGGGGUUUCGGGCGGCUUCGGGCGAUCUCGGGCGGAUUGGGUAAGGAGCAUAUUUUGGAUUGGGAUUCGGAGAGGGACGGGGGUAGAGAAAGAGGGAGGUGGCGGCGGGGGUAGUAGAAGAAGGAAGAGGGUCUAGGUGAGGAAAGGCAGGAGGCGUGUGGGUGGCGAGGGUGCCAGAAAGGAAGGAGCAGGGUUAGGGGUGUGGAGGGGCCGGAGAGGGCAGGAAGGAGGUAAAUGUUAGGAUCACCGUUGGUAGUGUGCCGAUAGGGGAGACCGGGAGGGGAGACGGGAUAGAAGUGCCACUACCAACUAGACGUCGUACACUACGACUAGACGGCUCAAACUGCCUCCGCCGUCGGGCUCACUACUCUAGGCGCAGAACCCGUGCGCAUCUAGGUCGUACCCGAGUUGGGGGCUACAACCGGAACAUCCUCCCCUCGCUGGCACGCCACCGGCCAGAUCCUAUUACCGAGCGCCCUCCGGCAUCACAUGGGAUCGGCGGUGACCUAAGGCCACACCGAGGGCGGGGAAGACAACCGAAGGAGCUGUGGUACCGGAGUACGACGACGAAGCUGGUGUACAGUCCAAGUAAACGGACGCGACCAUCGGUAUUGUUGGUAAGCACCCGUCCCACCCUUCGGAUUCCGACCACGCACCUGAGGGAGAAGCUAACUAACGAAUUCCUUGUACAUAUGCUCACUCUACACACACGCACGUCGUCGGGCACAAAACACAAACGCCCAAAGGAGAGACUUAAAAUUGUGACUUAAAAGAGACAUAGAAAUGUGACGUUCCAUGGGUCAUAUCUGUCUCCCGUGUACAAGUAGUUGGCCGACGUGACACGAUACACCCGAAGAUUAAAACAAAUUAAAAACUGGGUCUAGAUUAAGUCAAAUCUAAAAACCUGUCAAACUACAUAGAGACAAGAGAUUUAGUUAUAUUAAUUCACAUGAUAUACGUAAGUCAAAUCAAAAGAUAGUUUUAUAUUAAGUCAUACUUAGUCACAUUAGUCCACCACUUAUUAAAGUAGUUUAUCCUCUGUACUAAAGACAAUGACACAAUUAUACUGCUGUACAAGACAAAUCUCAAAAGAGGUAUGUGAAGAUAGAUAUAACAUUUGUUGUCGAGCCACUUAUAUAUAUUGGUUUUAGUUCAAAUUAGACUUAGAUUCUUCUUUUAAUGUAGUCAUGUCACACCGUCAAGAUGUCAAUAUUAUGUCUCCAAAUUUGGAUAAGUAAACACAUGAUUCGUGUACAUCAUGACGAUGACAAUCAAUACACGGAUGAUCAUGAUCUUGGUUACGGUGCAAUCAAGUGACAGGGAAUUAGAUCUCCGUGUGUGGUUCGAUCGUUAACAGUUGUGUAACUAUGGGUAAAGAAGUUGGACACAUUAGGGACGGAGGUUCGGUCCAGCGGGAAACGUUACCCGGCUGUUCCCAACUACAGAUGACAGACUAGGAUUUAGAAAAGCGACUACGAAAGGGUAAAAAAAUACUAGUUAAUUGUGACAUUGAGUGGGACUAAUACUAGAGACAAAAAACCCUACAUCCAGAUCCACCACGAUAUCGUCGGCACGGCGACGCGCCACGUGUUAUCUCGAGCUCUCCCACCGGCACUAUUGACACCACCCCGACGAGACACUAGUUGGUAUCCAACCAAGAGAUGACGGUGAGGAUACUAAAGAGGCCAUACUAACCCAUCGCACGAAAAACUACGACCGGUAGUGUUAGGCGGUACUGUACUAUGAAUGGUAGUCCUCCCGGCUGCUGUUCUUGCACUUAUUGUUGGAGUUAUCAUAGUAUAUAAGACAACAACAUUUAACCUAACAUGAACAUUUAACCUAACAUGACCAAGGACUGGAACACACUAUAUAGAACAGUUAUAUAAGACAUUUAAAGUAAAGUACCUCCUAAAACAUUUGACUUGGUUACCUACCGACGUAUAACUUAUAGGCACAGUAUAUACUAUUGUCAAACCUUUAUG